rnacentral:tRNA from 1 species
CCCUGGUUAGCUCAGUUGGUAGAGCGCUCCACUUGUAAUGGAGAGGUCCCGGGUUCGAUACCCGGA